rnacentral:rRNA from 1 species
UACGGAGGUGGCAGGCGUUACUCGGAUUGAUUGGGUGUAAAGGGCGUGUAGGUGGUGGAUUAAGUCGAAUGUGAAAUCCCUUGGCUCAACCAAGGAACUGCAUUCGAUACUGAUUUGCUUGAGUGACAGAGAGGUAAGUGGAAUUCCCGGUGUAACAGUGAAAUGUGUAGAUAUCGGGAGGAACACCAGUGGCGAAGGCGACUUACUGGCUGUCUACUGACACUGAAACGCGAGAGUUAGGGGAG